rnacentral:rRNA from 1 species
GAAUUCAACUCCUACGGGAGGCAGCAGUGGGGAAUAUUGGCCAAGGGGCGCAAGCCUGAUCCAGCCAUGCUGCGUGAGUGAUGAAGGCCCUAGGGUUGUAAAGCUCUUUUGUGCGGGAAGGUAAUGACGGUACCGCAAGAAUAAGCCCCGGCUAACUUCGUGCCACCAGCCGCGGUAAUACGAAGGGGGCUAGCGUUGCUCGGAAUCACUGGGCGUAAAGGGUGCGUAGGCGGGUCUUUAAGUCAGGGGUGAAAUCCUGGAGCUCAACUCCAGAACUGCUUUUGAUACUGAAGAUCUUGAGUUCGGGAGAGGUGAGUGGAACUGCGAGUGUAGAGGUGAAAUUCGUAGAUAUUCGCAAGAACACCAGUGGCGAAGGCGGCUCACUGGCCCGAUACUGGCGCUGAGGCACGAAAGCGUGGGGAGCAAACAGGAUUAGAAACCCUAGUAGUCCAGGCGUU